AUGAACGCUGGCGGCGUGCCUAAUACCUGCAAGUCGCGCGAACAGACGAGGAGCUUGCUCCUCUGACGUUAGCGGCGGACGGGUGAGUAACACGUUGAUAAUCUACCUAUAAGACUGGGAUAACUUCGGGAAACCGGAGCUAAUACCGGAUAAUAUAUUGAACCGCAUGGUUCAAUAGUGAAAGACGGUUUUGCUGUCACUUAUAGAUGGAUCCGCGCCGCAUUAGCUAGUUGGUAAGGUAACGGCUUACCAAGGCAACGAUGCGUAGCCGACCUGAGAGGGUGAUCGGCCACACUGGAACUGAGACACGGUCCAGACUCCUACGGGAGGCAGCAGUAGGGAAUCUUCCGCAAUGGGCGAAAGCUUGACGGAGCAACACCGCGUGAGUGAUGAAGGUCUUCGGAUCGUAAAACUCUGUUAUUAGGGAAGAACAAAUGUGUAAGUAACUAUGCACGUCUUGACGGUACCUAAUCAGAAAGCCACGGCUAACUACGUG
rnacentral:rRNA from 1 species